CCUACGGGAGGCAGCAGUGGGGAAUAUUGGACAAUGGGCGAAAGCCUGAUCCAGCCAUGCCGCGUGAGUGAUGAAGGCCUUCGGGUUGUAAAGCUCUUUUAGCGGGGAAGAUAAUGACGGUACCCGCAGAAAAAGCCCCGGCUAACUUCGUGCCAGCAGCCGCGGUAAUACGAAGGGGGCUAGCGUUGUUCGGAUUUACUGGGCGUAAAGCGCGCGUAGGCGGGUCGUUAAGUCGGGGGUGAAAUCCCGAGGCUCAACCUCGGAACUGCCUUCGAUACUGGCGACCUAGAGUCCGGGAGAGGUGUAUGGAACUCCUAGUGUAGAGGUGGAAUUCGUAGAUAUUAGGAAGAACACCGGUGGCGAAGGCGAUACACUGGCCCGGUACUGACGCUGAGGCGCGAAAGCGUGGGGAGCAAACAGGAUUAGAUACCCUAGUAGUC
rnacentral:rRNA from 1 species